rnacentral:rRNA from 1 species
GACUCCACUCGAUGUGGAUCGCGCCCAUGCUUGCUCAGCUCCAGGAUCAGGCUCCUAAACCUAUUUUCAAUAAGUCAUCUGGUCUAUGUUGUUGGAGUUCCGCAUGACGCCUUAAUCCCACCUCUGUGUCUAAGGAAUGUCCUUUUCUUUUUUUCUUUAUUGUUCGUGGGAACAUGUAAGAUUAGCAAUGGAAAUUUAGCUACGGCCGACCAAAUAAAAAUCUAG